AUAAAAUCCAAGGCAGAGCCCCCCAUCCCAGGAGGUCAAGGCCGAGAGCAGCAGUCAAGGCUGAGUGGGCAAGGUGGUCCACUUGCCAUCUAUCCUGGCUGAGCAUGCCCAUGCCAGGUG